CCCUUAGAUGUCCGGGGCUGCACGCGCGCUACACUGACUGGCUCAGCGUGUGCCUACCCUACGCCGGCAGGCGCGGGUAACCCGUUGAACCCCAUUCGUGAUGGGGAUCGGGGAUUGCAAUUAUUCCCCAUGAACGAGGAAUUCCCAGUAAGUGCGGGUCAUAAGCUUGCGUUGAUUAAGUCCCUGCCCUUUGUACACACCGCCCGUCGCUACUACCGAUUGGAUGGUUUAGUGAGGCCCUCGGAUCGGCCCCGCCGGGGUCGGCCCACGGCCCUGGCGGAGCGCUGAGAAGACGGUCGAACUUGACGAUCUAGAGGAAGUAAAAGUCGUAACA
rnacentral:rRNA from 1 species